rnacentral:rRNA from 1 species
UACGUAGGGGCGAGCGUUGUCCGGAUUUAUUGGGCGUAAAGAGCUCGUAGGCGGCUUGUUGCGUCGACCGUGAAACCCGGGCUCAACUUCGGCUUGCGGUCGAUACGAGCGGCUAGAGUUCGGUAGGGAGACUGAAUCCUGUGUAGCGGUGAAUGCGCAGAUAUCAGGAGGAACACCGGUGGCGAAGGCGGUCUCUGGCCGAUACUGACGCUGAGGAGCGAAGCGUGGAGAGCGAACAGG